rnacentral:rRNA from 1 species
CCUACGGGCGGCUGCAGUGGGGAAUAUUGGACAAUGGGGGCAACCCUGAUCCAGCCAUGCCGCGUGUGUGAAGAAGGCCCUCGGGUUGUAAAGCACUUUCAGUGAGGAAGAACGCCUGGUGGUUAAUACCCAUCAGGAAAGACAUCACUCACAGAAGAAGCACCGGCUAACUCCGUGCCAGCAGCCGCGGUAAUACGGAGGGUGCGAGCGUUAAUCGGAAUUACUGGGCGUAAAGCGCGCGUAGGUGGCUUGAUAAGCCGGUUGUGAAAGCCCCGGGCUCAACCUGGGAACGGCAUCCGGAACUGUCAAGCUAGAGUGCAGGAGAGGAAGGUAGAAUUCCCGGUGUAGCGGUGAAAUGCGUAGAGAUCGGGAGGAAUACCAGUGGCGAAAGCGGCCUUCUGGACUGACACUGACACUGAGGUGCGAAAGCGUGGGUAGCAAACAGGAUUAGAUACCCUGGUAGUC